rnacentral:misc_RNA from 1 species
AAUCUUGAUAGGAUCAGGGGAGAGUGAAAGGCGCUGAAGGCGUUGCUGGUUUUGAAUAGAUACGAAGAGUGCAAUACGUCUAGGAACAACAAUUUCCAGAUAAUUUUCGUCUCUGGGGUAGGCGGUACCCAUUGGAGCUUCUGCUGGCGGAGAUGAGAAGAAGCGGCGGCGGCGGAGUUAAAGGAGUUUCGACGGCAGAAGACGGCGGUUUUAUACUGAUGAUUACGGGAGCCAG